UACGUAGGGGGCAAGCGUUGUCCGGAUUUAUUGGGCGUAAAGAGCUCGUAGGCGGUUCGAUAAGUCGGGUGUGAAACCUCCAGGCUCAACCUGGAGACGCCACCCGAUACUGUCGUGACUAGAGUCCAGUAGGGGAGCGUGGAAUUCCUGGUGUAGCGGUGAAAUGCGCAGAUAUCAGGAGGAACACCAGCGGCGAAGGCGGCGCUCUGGGCUGGCACUGACGCUGAGGAGCGAAAGCGUGGGUAGCGAACAGG
rnacentral:rRNA from 1 species